rnacentral:rRNA from 1 species
GACCUACGGGAGGCAGCAGUGGGGAAUAUUGCACAAUGGGGGAAACCCUGAUGCAGCGACGCCGCGUGGGUGAAGGAGUAUUUCGGUAUGUAAAGCCCUAUCAGCAGGGAAGAACAAUGACGGUACCUGACUAAGAAGCACCGGCUAAAUACGUGCCAGCAGCCGCGGUAAUACGUAUGGUGCAAGCGUUAUCCGGAUUUACUGGGUGUAAAGGGAGCGCAGGCGGCGCGUUAAGUCUGGUGUGAAAGUCCGGGGCUAAAC